UUUUAUUAUUAUUAUUAUUAUUUUUUAACCUGGUUGUUUCUGUGAUUAUGGUUUUAUGGUUUGCACCUUUGGGAAAGCCUAAGGUUUACACAUUUUUGAAAAUACCAUGUUGACCAUGUGAGAGUUGGAGUAAAGCAUUUUAACUAAAAGUUUCAGAGCAAAAGCAAGCUUCCAAAUAUUUUUCCUUUUCAUAUUGACAUGACUUGCAUUUAACCUUACAUUUUUUUUCUGUCUUGAUUUUUAGAUAACAUCAAAUAGAUACUUGUCACUCUAACUUUGAAGAUGUGACUUAAUUACUACUGCCAACAUUUUAUAAUAAGCUUCAGGGAAAAAAGAAUUCAUUGUAUUAAUUUUUAAAACCUGUGAUUUUUGAAAAUGCAGAUUUCUUGACUAUUGGAAAUUAACAGUAUAACACAUUUUAAUAACUAAUUUGAAAUGCAAGAUAAUAUAGAGAAAGUAAGCUGUUUUUUAAAAAUUAAAUUAAUGUCACUUUUUUUUGUUUCUGUGAACAGAUAAAAUCAAACAGUGCAUAUAAACUCAGUGUUGUCCCAUCGUAGACACAGACACUCAUCAAACGCUCAUUGAUUAAAUUGAUGUUUGUAGCAAAUUGGCGAGUGUCCACACAAAAUUCAAGUCCAUACAGAGCCUCAGAAUGUCAUCUUAUUUAGAGAGAAUCCUUGUAGAUGUAGUUAUGUUAUAAUGAGGUCAUAGUGGAUUAGGGUGGAACCUAAAUUCAAUGGCUGGUUUCCUUAUAGGAAGAGGAGAAAUGGCCAUGUGACAUACAGGAGAAAAGUCAUGUGAAGACAAAGGCAGAGAUCUCAGUGACUCACGUAUCAGCCAAGAAAUGUCAAGUCUUCCUGGCAACCAUUAGAAGCUAGAAGUAUGGGAAAAAUUCUCCCUCAGAGCCUCUAGAAGAAACCAACCCCCAGAAAACUUUGAUUUCAGACCUCUGGCUUCCAAACUAUGAGAGAAUAAAUUUCUGCUGUGUUAAGUCUCCCAGUUUGUGUUACUUAGUAAGGGAGCCCUGGGCAACUGGAACAAUUAGGCAUCUGUCCACGUAGUGCUUAGGCCUUAGAGCAGAAAUAGGAGAAUAUACACACACACACAGUAUCACCAAAAACAAGCUAUCUCAAAUAUCAAUAUGCUAUAUGUAAAUGAAGACAAAAUAAUUUCCAAGGAUAGAACAAUAAGGCUUGAGCUUGACACUUGGUUUGAAUACUUCUUAAGGGAUGAUUGGGAUUUGUGCGGAGGUAGAUUAGAGAAAAAUCCAAAUUUAAACUAGAAUGAGCAAUAGCACAAAUUAUAAAUGUGAUUAACACAUGCACGUUGUGCUUACAGCAUAUUAUCUGGUUUAAUGCAGAGACAAUGAAUGUCUCAGUGACAUAAUGAAGCUCUUAUUUUUAAAAAGAUUCUCUAUUUUCAUCUUCCUUUCACUCAUAUUAAUAUGUCUAAAUUCCAUUCAGUGUUCGUGACUCAAAUGACAACUUUUUGAUUGUAGUACUUCCGGAUUCUUUUAUUCCUUCAGUUCAAAUUAAGCUUCCUGACACUUUGAUUCAGCCUGCUUUUCCAUGUAAAUACAAUUUUAUUAUUUCUGUGUCAUAGCGGUGCUGGGGUGUUUGUGUUCACACCAGUCUUCUGCUAUUCAGCUUCAAAUUUGCUGAAGUAGUUUCAGGCUUUUUUUUUUUUUUUUUUGCUUUUCAUUUAUAAUACAGCAAAUUGUUUUACACAAAGGUGGUCCUUAUUAAACAUUUGCUGAAGUAAAAAUAUUAUUUACAUCUCUGUGUAUACUUGUUUAAAUUCACUGGCAAUUUUAUGCCUCUGUGGCUUCAAAAACACUAUAGACAGGUCUUUUAACUACUUAGAGAAAAACUGAUAUAAAAGUACAUUUGCAAUUGAAUGUUAUCAGAAAAACAAGGUACAGGGUAUAUUGAAGUGAGAUUAUUUAAAGGGAAUUUGCAGCAAUUCAUCUCUGCUAUCAGGAUAUGUUGAUUAUGUGGUAAAUAUGGUUGUAGUAUAAUGUGCAGAGCCAGUUUUUUAUUAAGCGGAUGUAUACAUAGUGGACCAAAUGUUUUCAGUUUUAACUAAGGCUCAAUUUACACUCACCAUUCAAGAAUCUCAGCUGAAGUUCUAUGGAAAGAUUCUUGAAUGGUGAGUGUGAAAAGAAUGUAAGCAAAUACAAUAAACUGUAAUAUGUACUGGUGAAGUGUAUACUGCCAUAAAUAUUGUCUUUUAUUCUAUUAGGCUUUGCAAAUCGGAAUGUUGUACAUUAAAAAUUUGAAUUCAAUAAAAUGUCAGAAAAACAGGUGAUUUUUAGUAAGUAACCAUUUUUAUUCGAUAUUGAGAAAUAAACCUUUACAACUUAUAAAAUAAGCACAAAAAUAAGAAGCAGUUUUUAAUAGUGUUUUGUAAUACAGGCUAUUCAUUUCAUAAUGUAUUUUCUUUAAAAUACUGUGCAGUUAUACUGUAUAGACUGUUCUUCCUUAAUAAUUAAGAAGAAACAAAUAUUUUUCACGCUUGCAACUAUUAUUAUUACACGGUAAUUAGUUGUUUACUUGAUGAAUUAAUUUUUCUUAUUUUAUAAAAUGCCUUUGGACAUUGUACAAAUUUGGUUUUUAUGAAAUAAAAUUACUUGUGUUUGAAUAAUUCAUGUUAGAAAGUUUUUUCACAUGAAAUUAAUUUUAAUUUCAGCAUGUCAAAGGAAAGAACGCAAAAUAAAAAUAAUCGCUAUUUGGUCCAUUAAUGAUUUUAUACUUAUAGAAUAUUCAACAUGUUUACUGCUCUUUGUGCUAAGAAAAGAAACUAAGUAUAUUCAACUUAAAUAUGUAAAAUUACACGUCUGAUUUUAAAAUAUGACAGUCU
rnacentral:lncRNA from 1 species